rnacentral:lncRNA from 1 species
AGCUGAUUGACGGAUAGGAAAUUUUCGUAAUUAAAAAAGGUACAAAUGAUGUUUUUAUUUUUGAGUUUUUGACAAAAUUGUUUGGAAUUUGCCCAAAAAAAUUUGCAUGCAGUAUCGCAAUAAUAUGUUUUGUCCUCUCAAAUGUCAAAUACUAUUUUUGAAUCAUAUGUUUUCUCGUUUUCAAAGAAAAACGCGUUAAAUUUCUACCUAAAAAACAGCUAACUUUAAGUUUGAAAGUUUUACUUGGAGAUGGUAUUAUAUUUAUGUCUUCAUCAUUCCGAUGAUCCUUGAUGAUAUGUGCAUAGAAAAUAUUUACGAAAAUAGCGGGAAAUUUAACCAAAAA